GGACAGACAGACAGACAGCUGGACAUACAGACAAGUAGACAGCAGGGCAAGUGCCUUGGAUCUCCCUGUUACUGAACAUUCUGUGGCCGGUAAACACCCAGUCCUAUGCCGGUCACGUCGCCGUUGCUGGAAACUGAGUGGAGCAAAUGGAAAAGGAAGAAAAUGGCCUGACUUCUGCUUGUGCCUCGAGACUGUCCAAUUAUUUAAUGUUUAAACCCGCUUGCUUCUCCAGCACAUAUCCAUCUGUCUGUCUGAUUGUCUGUCUGUCUGUCUGCCUGCCUGCCAUAGAUGGUGAUAUGGCCUCUUGCAGGGGAAGGCCGGGCCGUGGAGUCUGGUGGCCGUUUCUCUUGGUUUGGUACAAAAUGUAUAUUUUCAAUUUCACAAUUGAGCAGCAGAAUUAACACUUUCUUCCUACGGAAA